GAUGAACGCUGGCGGCGUGCCUAAUACAUGCAAGUCGAGCGAACAGAUGAGGAGCUUGCUCCUCUGACGUUAGCGGCGGACGGGUGAGUAACACGUGGAUAACCUACCUAUAAGACUGGGAUAACUUCGGGAAACCGGAGCUAAUACCGGAUAAUAUAUUGAACCGCAUGGUUCAAUAGUGAAAGACGGUUUUGCUGUCACUUAUAGAUGGAUCCGCGCCGCAUUAGCUAGUUGGUAAGGUAACGGCUUACCAAGGCAACGAUGCGUAGCCGACCUGAGAGGGUGAUCGGCCACACUGGAACUGAGACACGGUCCAGACUCCUACAGGAAGCAGCAGUAGGGAAUCUUCCGCAAUGGGCGAAAGCCUGACGGAGCAACGCCGCGUGAGUGAUGAAGGUCUUCGGAUCGUAAAACUCUGUUAUUAGGGGAGAACAAAUGUGUAAGUAACUAUGCACGUCUUGACGGUACCUAAUCAGAAAGCCACGGCUAACUACGUG
rnacentral:rRNA from 1 species